rnacentral:rRNA from 1 species
GUGUCAGCCGCCGCGGUAAUACGGAGGGUGCGAGCGUUGUUCGGAAUUAUUGGGCGUAAAGCGCGUGCAGGCGGUCGAGUAAGUCAGAUGUGAAGGCCUUUCGCUUAACGGAAGAAGUGCAUUUGAAACUGCUCGGCUGGAGUACGGGAGAGGAGAGUGGAAUUCCCGGUGUAGAGGUGAAAUUCGUAGAUAUCGGGAGGAACACCAGUGGCGAAGGCGGCUCUCUGGUCCGAUACUGACGCUGAGACGCGAAAGCGUGGGGAGCAAACAGGAUGAGAUACCCUGGUAGUCCACGCCGUAAACGAUGGGCACUAGGUGUAGGAGGUAUUGACCCCUUCUGUGCCGGAGCUAACGCAUUAAGUGCCCCGCCUGGGGAGUACGGCCGCAAGGCUAAAACUUAAAUGAAUUGACGGGG